rnacentral:rRNA from 1 species
AUUGAACGCUGGCGGCAGGCCUAACACAUGCAAGUCGAACGAGUGGCGGACGGGUGAGUAAUGUCUGGGAAACUGCCUGAUGGAGGGGGAUAACUACUGGAAACGGUAGCUAAUACCGCAUCCCAUCAGAUGUGCCCAGAUGGGAUUGGCUUGUUGGUGGGGUAACGGCUCACCAAGGCGAAGGUCCCUAGCUGGUCUGAGCGGAUGACGAGCCAAACUGGCACGGAGAGGCGGUCCAGAGGCCUGCGUGAGGCAGCCGUGGGGAAAUUGGGACAAUGGGUGCAAGCCUGAUGCAGCCAUGCCGCGUGUAUGAAGAAGGCCUUCGGGUUGUAAAGUACUUUCAGCGGGGAGGCGUUACCCGCAGAAGAAGCACCGGCUAACUCCGUGCCAGCAGCCGCGGUAAUUC